GAAAUGCGAUACGUAAUGCGAAUUGCAGAAUUCAGUGAAUCAUCAAAUCUUUGAACGCAAAUUGCGCUUCUUGGAUAGGCCAGGAAGCAUGCCUCUUUGAGUAUCGUUUUCACCCCAGCUCGACUGCUUAUUUGUUAUGAAUAGGUUUAAGUCGGAGAAUGAGUUUGUCUUGUCUGAAAUAGAUAAGUCACUUUAAAUGCUGUGAGUUUCGAUUGCCUACGUUCAGUAGGAUUAGUAUAUCAACUAAUCGCUGUCGUAAUGUGGAUAAACUUUAUUUACAUUAUUAUGCAGUUUGAUUGGGUGUGUACUGGUAAUAAUCACUUUAUAAACUCAGUGGAAAUUAAUCUAAUAUACAUUUGUGUAUUAAUACCUUUUGAAUUAGAUCUCAAAUGAAGCAAGA
rnacentral:misc_RNA from 1 species